UCGGGAAUUUUGCGCAAUGGACGAAAGUCUGACGCAGCAACGCCGCGUGAGGGAUGAAGGCCUUCGGGUUGUAAACCUCUUUUAUCAGGGAAGAUAAUGACGGUACCUGAUGAAUAAGUCACGGCUAACUACGUGCCAGCAGCCGCGGUAAUACGUAGGUGACAAGCGUUGUCCGGAUUUACUGGGCGUAAAGAGCGCGCAGGCGGUCGUUCAAGUCGAGUGUGAAAGCCCCCGGCUCAACUGGGGAGGGUCAUUCGAUACUGAUCGACUCGAAGGCAGGAGAGGGAAGUGGAAUUCCCGGUGUAGUGGUGAAAUGCGUAGAUAUCGGGAGGAACACCAGUGGCGAAGGCGACUUCCUGGCCUGUUCUUGACGCUGAGGCGCGAAAGCUAGGGGGAGCAAACGGGAUUAGAUACCCCGGUAGUCCUAGCCGUAAACGAUGGACACUAGGUGUUGGUGGUAUCAACCCCGCCAGUGCCGAAGCUAACGCAUUAAGUGUCCCGCUGGGGA
rnacentral:rRNA from 1 species